UCCAUCUCAGAGCCUGCUAAACGCUCCUCCUGGCUUCACUGAGACUCUCCUUACAGUGCUUCCAAAAAUCUCGAUGAGCCUUUGCAUUUUAAGCAGACGCGAUUAUAUCAGAUCUCCCCGUCUUCCAGUGGCUCAGCUCUACCCAAGUUUGAUGAACUGAUCUCAGUUAGAGAAAUCCCAUCAGCUGUCGGCUUUGCUGAGACUCAGGCAAUGACAUCUCCCCGGUUUGCUCAGGUUUGAUGCGAAGGAGCCACUCCUGCCACAAACCUUCAAGGCCAGCUGGCCGGAACAGGUCUUUCAUCGGCCAUCGUCGUGCCUGGAACCCAGAACCGGGGGCGCAAAGAAAGCAAAACAACCAGGAUAGAUGUGGCUUGGAAACAUGUGUGCAUGUUUCCCUGCAACGUGGGCCCAGUAGGAAUAAUGACUUAUAAAGAGGGGAGGAAUAAUCUGCUUCGCGGGGGACCCCUGGAGGAGAAAUGGAUGUGUGAGCACCGACACACCGAUGCAACACCCCGGCAAAGGUACUUCUCCACUGCCCGGACACUCCCACACCUCCACGUUCACUGACACCUGAAUGCACCAGCCCGCUGGCUCACAGGCACUCGAAGGACAAAGACGCACCCCCGUAUACCCACGCCCGCAAACUUAGCGAGGACCUGUGCUUGACUUGUAAUGAGGUUUUUUUAAUGAAUAUCUUUUGCAAAACUAA